rnacentral:rRNA from 1 species
CCUACGGGAGGCAGCAGUGAGGAAUAUUGGUCAAUGGGCGGAAGCCUGAACCAGCCAAGUAGCGUGCGGGAUGAAGGCCCUACGGGUCGUAAACCGCUUUUGCACGGGGAUAACACCCUCCACUUGUGGAGGUCUGCAGGUACCGUGCGAAUAAGGGCCGGCUAAUUCCGUGCCAGCAGCCGCGGUAAUACGGAAGGCCCGAGCGUUAUCCGGAUUCAUUGGGCUUAAAGGGAGCGUAGGCGGGCGUUCAAGUCAGCUGUAAAAUCGCGCGGCUCAACCGCGCCCCGCAGUUGAAACUGGACGCAUUGAGUUCACAACAGGCAGGCGGGAUUCGUGGUGUAGCGGUGAAAUGCAUGGAUAUCACGAGGGGCCCCGAUUGCGAAGGCAGCCUGGCGGGGUGCGACUGACGCUGAGGCUCGAAGGUGCGGGUAUCAAACAGGAUUAGAUACCCUAGUAGUG